rnacentral:misc_RNA from 1 species
GUCCAAUUGACAUGAAUUACAUAAAAUCAAUCCUAUUAUUUUCAUAAAAGCUCGCGGGUGAACAAGACCAACGACCCUACCUCUUUUGCCAAUACUAUUAAACGUAUAACCUACCAUUGGAAGAUGAAAUUGGGAUGUAAACUAGCUAUUCUUUUUUAUUUAUCUACAUGAAUUGAGACCAUUACAGCAUAGGCAUCAUUACCCUAUAAAGUACAAAGUCACCCUGCUCCAGCUUAUUUGACAGUGUACGAAAAUUGCCCAAUGUUUUGAUUGUAAUGAAGUAUUUGACCUUUAUGUUCAGGUCUCAAGCUCCAUAUAAACAAGAUAUAUUUAUCGUCUUAUAUCAAUUUGCCAUUGAGAAAAGAAGAUUUUAAGAGGCUUGAUGUUGGUGUAUGAGUACCCAAUAAUCCACAAA